CUUCUGUGUAUGAUGCAGUAUUCAUUGCCAGCACCUCCAUGUUUGGUGGACUGUGGUGGAAAUUAUGUGGUAUGUAUGUACUUAUAUCUUUCCCCUUUCCCACAAGGCUGAGCAGGCACUAUGGCUGUGCGAUAUAUCAUCCAAAACCAGGUUGAAGUUCAUAUUGUGAUAUUGGUUUCAUAAUUUUUGACCUGGCAAUAUACUGUGUGUGUGUGUGUGCAGGAAAAAGAGUGAAGCCAGCCAAUGCCUCUACAUAGCUCCAUCCCUAUUUCAGAUGUGAUGUUUAGCUGGUGUUACAUGGCAAUGCUGAAAACCAGAUAUUACCCAACAGGUUUUGCCAGUUGCUGUGCCUGUAUAUCUGCAGUGCAUCUAGGGAUCUGGUAUAAGAUUGUUCUGUCGGACUGCUCUGCACAUCUUUGUGCUAAGAAAAGACAUUUUAUCGGUGUAACUGUCCUUUUCUGUACUUUUCCAGCACUACAGCAUCUUUCUUAGGAUCAGGUAACCAGAACUGCACAUAAUAUUCCAAAUGGGGUACACCACAAAUUUACUUUAAAACAUUAUGAUACUUUCUGUUCUGUUUUCAGUCCUUUUGCUAAUAAUGAACAUGAAAGCAACAUUAAAAAAACCCAAUCACUGUUGAUCGCUGCUCUGCACUGAAACAGUGUUUCCAGUAAACUGUCCACCACACCGCCAAGAUAACUUUCCAGGAUACUCACAUUAGUGCUUAUUAUCAAACAUCAGGUCCAUCAGUCCACUGAAACAUCUCUCCAAUUGGGGAAAAGUGUAUAGCUUUGUAAUUCCACUGAAGGUACUACUUGGUCCUUAGAGUUAUUUGAACAAUACCAUUGUAUUCAUUUUACAAUAUGCUGUCAUUCAGCAUCAGAACCAGUACCAGACCAGCAGGGACACUUCCAUUGUUCUCGGAAUGCUAGCUGCUGACAUUCCAUUUGGGGCAUGUUCUGUCCUUUGAAAUACUACUGUUUCCAUUCAUUGUCUAUAGCAAUAUCUUAGAUACUAUAAUUCUGUUGAAAUGCCCUUCCCAGUACUGUUGUAUUUCAGACUGUUAAAACCCCUUUGGAGAUAUCUGUUCUAAUGACAGUUCAUCGUUGUUCUACUAAGUGCUCAUUUCCUUGAGUAUGUGAUCUUCAGAUGAAGGAUGGUAUAUAAAUUUAAUAGAUGAUGAUGAUGACGACAACUUAAAGUUUCCUGCAUGUUUCAACUGUUCUGUUAGUCUUGAUUCCUUCAUUAUUACGGUAUUUCUCCUUCUAUGUUAAUCUCUUGUGUUGCCUAGGAGGGCCUGAAAAGCACUGCACUGUAGCGCGGAAGUUAAGCUGAGAAGAUCUCCUGGGCAAGGUCAAAUUCAAUGUCAUCAACUUCAUUGAUAAUUAUUUUACAUAGUAAUUUAUUUUGGGGUUGUUGUUGCUGUUUUAAAAAAAUGCCCCUGAAUAUUUUACAUUUUAUGUUGACUUUCUAAACAACCAGUCUAAAAGAGUUCCAGAAGCUGUGGUGGUGGUGGUUGGUAAUAUCAAUUUGGGCUCUUCUUUAGGGGUCUCUUCUGUUCUAUGGGGAGGUUCCCCCACCUGCCCACCCAGAAGCAGCUGUGCUGGGUACAGCACUUCAAAGGCGAAGUCAACCAUAAAGUUUUCUCUACCUUUGAUUUUCAACAGAACCAGGGAAGAAUCUGGGAACGUCUAAGGCUUCCUUCCUUCAUUUGAGAUGAGCACUACAAAAGCUCAUCUCCAGACCUGAAUCUGGUGAAUUUUGGUGGCAUUUCUGCACAGCAGUGAAUCUUGUGGCACUGCCAAGGUGAUGAUUCCCAUGGGAUGAAGCAGCGAGGUCCCAGUCUCACCUUCUGAGAGCUACGCAACAGGUUUUCUAGUUCAACUUGGAUGACUUUUGUUUCAAAAUGAGCCAACUAUACUUGGUAAUACUAACUAGGCUACAAAGGCUCAUAUAGUUUAUCAGAUGAUAAUUAAGGGUGUGACUCAUCUGAAAUUGAAAACGUUUGUAAUCCUCUCUAUGGAGAAGUUAAGGAUAUCUUUCAAUAACCUCCCAAUGAAAUCAGUGGGAUAAAAAUGUUCACAAUAGACUGAAUUCUGCCCUACAUUUGCCUUUUGUAGUGUUGGAUGUGAGUCCACCUCACAAGCAUUGUGAUUUCAUUCCGUGAAUCAUUAAACUGCAUUCUAGUGUGCCAUCG